rnacentral:rRNA from 1 species
UACGAAGGGGGGCUAGCGUUGCUCGGAAUGACUGGGCGUAAAGGGCGCGUAGGCGGCGCAUUUAGUCAGGCGUGAAAUUCCUGGGCUCAGCCUGGGGACUGCGCUUGAUACGGGUGUGCUUGAGGAUGGAAGAGGCUCGCGGAAUUCCCAGUGUAGAGGUGAAAUUCGUAGAUAUUGGGAAGAACACCGGUGGCGAAGGCGGCGAGCUGGUCCAUUACUGACGCUGAGGCGCGACAGCGUGGGGAGCAAACAGG